AGCAGAGUGCAUACGCGAGAUUUGCAUACGUCAUCGCAUACCCAACGAACGUCAGUUUACGGUAGUGAGAAGCAGCACAGACUGACGGGAAACUGAGUGUUUUGGGAUCAUAACUCAACAGUAGCACACUUUUCUGUCUGACAAACACAACAAAACACGGCAGGCUGUUGCGAGUUCGACUAAAGUUUGUGGAAAGCAAAGCUUUUGCAGUAUGAAUAUUGUGCAAGCUCCCGCGAGUGUACAGUAGGCUAUUCCGAGCGUCAAGUUUAGCUACCUUGUAGGUCUACAAGUCCAGGACAAAAAGCCAGCUUUGGUGCUGAUGUGAUGGCCAACCUCUGUGGUGUUUCCACCAAUCUUAACAGUCUUCCCGUUCUUCAGUCUGACCAAUGUCACAACAUCUGCAUUGACUUCAGCGUACACAAAUGGAGCGUCGUACUUCACUGUCAGUUCACCCUCUUUGAUGGCUGACAAAGGGGAAGGCAGUGCCUCCUGAUAUAUGGCACGGUAUGAUCAGGCUACAUAUACCACAGGGAGAUGUUUAUCCAAAUUGCUGACAGAUAUAUCCAUCAUGGUUUGCGCCUCAUCUGUGAAGCUUUUGUGUUGUUUCACUGUUCUGCAUAUCGUAAAUCUACAAGACCUGGCAUGUCCAUCAGACACAUAAUGUAAGAUUUUUCUCAAAAUAAUAACAUAUAAUUUAUAAACUAACUUAAACUUAAAUGAUAGCCUAUGCAAAUAUAUAGAAUUCUCGAAUGAGGUUUGUGAUUCUAAAGAUGAUGCUUUAUCUGAGUGAAAGGAACAUCACCAGUCUCAGAAGGUUUUUUUGUGAUCAUUAGACGUAAAGUCAGAUGUAAAAAAAUAAACUUGCUGAAACAACUUGUAUCGCUACACAAAGACCUGCAAAAAGAUUAUGGUUAUGGUUAUUGUUAUUUAGCAGACGCUUUUGUCCAAAGUGAAUAUUAUAUUAUAAACGCUUUUGAAGAUGGCUCCAGAAGUAAUGCCUGUAUGAUCCAUAGCCUGAGGAUAAUGUGUGUCAAGUACGUCUGGUGAUGUUCUAACAAAAUUUGUGACCUGUGAAAAUUUUGUGUCACUUCAGUUAAAAUAGAGCAAAUGACAGGGUCCAAGCAUUUGAAGCUUUUAUACUUUAGGACGAACUGAUUUACAGCUUUUGUGACUAUCAUUGACAUGCUGCUCUGGCAUUGCAAACCCCUUCUAUUUUUAGAGCAGAUCAAUUAGAAAGGCAGAUGGCUGCAAAGAUCAAAAUGACAUAUUACUUCAGAAGCUACCUAACCCUACUUGAGAUAAGAGCAACAAAACCCCAAAUAGAUUAUUAUAGCACCACCCACAGGUGCAGUUCAUCAGGUGAAGGUUAUUCACAGAUAACCUGAAAUGGGAAGUAGGCCUACCUCCCGUCAUAGAUAAACCCUCAACUUUUAUCAAGCAGGCGCUGCACACACUCUUAAAACGAAAACUUGUCCCUAUAUGGACACAGAAAUGUGUUAAAUACAACGCACGUUGUAUUAUUUUCAAUAAAUAACAAAAGCAAUGUGUUGAAAAUAACACAAACUGUGUUGUCCCUAUCUGGACACAGAGAUGUGUUAAGUAGGGUUCAGACCAAAGAUUCCCGACAAGACGAGACGAGCCGCGACGUUCUAAAACCUUGUGACUGCGACUCAAUUAAUGCUCGCAACUACGUAUAACUUGCAACUACGUAUAACUUCUAAUUCACACUGCUGCAACUCCGUCUCGUCGCGUCGGGAAACUUUGGUGUGAAUUGGGCUUUUUUGGGCAGAGAGGUAUGUUUUUAGUUUUUUGGACUAGCUAUCAUGUUGAUUGCAACAGACUUAAAAACUGUUUUAUAAAUCAAUCUAUCAAUCAAUUGUUAAACCAACUAAUGAAAACCCAGUGCCAUAUGUAUCAGGGUUGCAAGUUUUCAUGACCUUGUUUUUGAGUAUUGUAUGUUCAUGUGGUUGUUUUUUUGCUAUUCAUGUAUGCUUUAUCUCAUUUCAUGUGUGUUUAUGUCAUUUGUAUUAUGUCGCUCCAUCCAGCAUCUUUUGUCUUCUGUCUUCUUGUUAUUUUGUAAAUUUGUUUGUUCAUGUCUUGAUGUCACGGGUAGGCUACAUUGGCGACUAUGCCUCUCCGUUCAGCAUUGUCUUAUGUAUCAGUCUUGUGAAGCGCUUUGGGUUGCACUCUGCAUGUUAAAUGCACUAUUCAAAUAAAAAUGUCUUGACUAGACUAUAUUUAGUCAAUGAAAGGGAAUGUUAUAGCACAAUAUGUAGGCUAAACAUGUCCUGUCCUGUUACAUGUCCUUUAGUUACGCAAGACGUGUGAGGAAAGGGAGAGGGAAAGAGAGGGCAAGAGAGGGAUAUAACUGAUUAUUGCUGAAGAAGAGGAGACACCUGACUGGUGACUGGUGCAUGCAUAACCUGCAUUUGUUCCAUGAUAAUAAUGACUAAUAAAUCAACUCCAUAAGACAAGUUUAACCAUCAAUUCCUCGAGAUCAUCACAUUAUAGGCCUACAUAUUUAUUAAUUUAGCAGACGCUUCUAUCCAAAGCCACUUACAUAAAGCAAGUACAUUAUAAGGGUCAUUGUCCGCGAAGCAACUUAGGGUGACCAGACGUCCCGGCCUGUCAGGACUCUAUCAUGUCCCGGUUUACACCAACUAUUAAAGUGUGGCUUUAUUAUAGCCCGAUCAUUACCUAAACCCAUGUAGAAACUAUAACAUACAUAUAGUACUGUAGUAUAUAGUCAACGUAUGAUUUCGAUAAUGUGUGUGUGUGUGUGUGUGUGUGUGCGUCAGUAAAUCGCAACAGUCUGCAUAAUCUUUGCAGAAAACAUUAGGCUACAU